rnacentral:tRNA from 1 species
CCUUCGAUAGCUCAGCUGGUAGAGCGGAGGACUGUAGAGGCGAGCUUCCCUUGUAGGAAUCCUUAGGUCGCUGGUUCGAUUCCGGCUCGAAGGA